AGCCUCUUCCUCAGCUGCCUCAGGCGGUGAUCCUCACACGUCUCAGCUGCUUUGGUCAGGAAACAGUUGAUCCAAACGUUCACCUGUUGGCUGAACCUGAAUGACUCGGCUGUGAUGUUUGAGGUCCGAGUCGCCGACAGGACGACCGUCGAUCCGACCCGCCCUCACAGCGGCCGGGUUCUGCUCUCUGACUGCGUCUCCCAUCACAGCGAGGCUCACGUACGCUGGCUUCCUGUCAGUCGUCUUCAUCUCUUCUGGAUGAUGAUGAUGCUGCUCUGGUGUCUCAUGGUUCACCUCUUCUUCUUCUGGUACUAUUAACACGAUGGAAAGAGAUCACAGAGAGAAACUUAACAUAAAAAGAAACUGAGAUUCUGUUCUUCAAUUAACUUUAGAAAGAAGAACUUAUGGCACAAAUUUGGAUGGAUUUUCUCUAAUCCACACAUGGUCAUAAUUACACAUACAGGUAAAAUAUGAAUAAUAACUCAGUUAGACGUCCUUUAGUAAACUGCGCUUCUGUAGUCACCAACGAGCUGCUGGUAUAAUU